rnacentral:rRNA from 1 species
GCUCAACCGGGGAGGGUCAUUGGAAACUGGGGAACUUGAGUGCAGAAGAGGAGAGUGGAAUUCCACGUGUAGCGGUGAAAUGCGUAGAGAUGUGGAGGAACACCAGUGGCGAAGGCGACUCUCUGGUCUGUAACUGACGCUGAGGCGCGAAAGCGUGGGGAGCGAACAGGAUUAGAUACCCUGGUAGUCCACGCCGUAAACGAUGAGUGCUAAGUGUUAGAGGGUUUCCGCCCUUUAGUGCUGCAGCAAACGCAUUAAGCACUCCGCCUGGGGAGUACGGUCGCAAGACUGAAACUCAAAGGAAUUGACGGGGGCCCGCACAAGCGGUGGAGCAUGUGGUUUAAUUCGAAGCAACGCGAAGAACCUUACCAGGUCUUGACAUCCUCUGACAACCCUAGAGAUAGGGCUUCCCCUUCGGGGGCAGAAUGACAGGUGGUGCAUGGUUGUCGUCAGCUCGUGUCGUGAGAUGUUGGGUUAAGUCCCGCAACGAGCGCAACCCUUGAUCUUAGUUGCCAGCAUUCAGUUGGGCACUCUAAGGUGACUGCCGGUGACAAACCGGAGGAAGGUGGGGAUGACGUCAAAUCAUCAUGCCCCUUAUGACCUGAGCUACACACGUGCUACAAUGGGCAGAACAAAG